AGACGGAGGGUCGCAAGCGUUGCUCGGAAUACACUGGGCGUAAACGGGUACCGCAGGACGGCGGAGAUAAGUCGGAUGUGAAAGCCCGGGGCUCAACCCCGGAACUGCAUUCGAAACUGUCUCACUUGAAUACGGGAGAGGAGAGUGGAAUUCCUGGUGUAGAGGUGAAAUUCGUAGAUAUCAGGAGGAACACCAGUGGCGAAAGCGGCUCUCUGGCCCGAUAUUGACGCUCAUGGACGAAAGCGUGGGUAGCAAACAGGAUUAGAUACCCUGGUAGUCCACGCCGUAAACGAUGAAUGCUAGCCGAUGGUUCUUCUACCGAAUUAUUGGCGUCGCUAACGCAUUAAGCAUUCCGCCUGGGAAGUACGGCCGCAAGGCUAAAACUCAAAGGAAUUGACGGGGCCCGCACAAGCGGUGGAGCAUGGGUUUAAUUCGAAGCAACGCGCAGAACCUUACCCCAGGCUUGACAUCCUCAGAACCUCUU
rnacentral:rRNA from 1 species